rnacentral:rRNA from 1 species
UAAAAUCAAAGGAUUGACGGGGCCCGCCCAAGCGGCGGAGCUUGGGGAUUAUUGGGGUGCAACGCGAAGAACUUUACCAAGGCUUGACAUGUUCUCGAUCGCGUAGAGAUACGUUUCCCCUUUGGGGCGGUUCACAGGUGGUGCAUGGUUGUCGUCAGCUCGUGUCGUGAGAUGUUGGGUUAAGUCCCGCAACGAGCGCAACCCUCGUUCCAUGUUGCCAGCACGUAGUGGUGGGGACUCAUGGGAGACUGCCGGGGUCAACUCGGAGGAAGGUGAGGACGACGUCAAAUCAUCAUGCCCCUUAUGUCUUGGGCUUCACGCAUGCUACAAUGGCCGGUACAAUGGGUUGCGAUACUGUGAGGUGGAGCUAAUCCCAAAAAGCCGGUCUCAGUUCGGAUUGGGGUCUGCAACUCGACCCCAUGAAGUCGGAGUCGCUAGUAAUCGCAGAUCAGCAACGCUGCGGUGAAUACGUUCCCGGGCCUUGUACACACCGCCCGUCAAGUCACGAAAGUUGGUAACACCCGAAGCCGGUGGCCUAACCCUUGUGGGGGGAGCCGUCGAAGGUGGGACCAGCGAUUGGGA